CGAACUCUGCCUCACGUGAUUCAGCAUUUCGAAAGACGCCGUUGCCAUGUGAGAUGAAAGACCUGUGGUGAUAGUUACCAACAGCUUUGCCGACGAGUUCCAUUUACUGGACGUUUGCUAAACGUGUUACAGUUCACUCUUAUCACUCAUAUCUCUAGUUUUCACUUAUUUACAUUAACCUCUGCGAUAUUGUCGCAUUUUGUCACAUUCGUUAGUAAAUAAAUAGUUCCAAAAUGAAAAUCAACGGAAUUGAGAAAGUUUCACAUAGCCCCGUGAACACCUCCCACAGCAAUGUGUCCCGCCCUCUGUAUCCGAUACGAGAAGAACAGCAGCACAGGGAUGGCAGAAAGCACCACAAAGAGACGCAGACAGUUCUGGGCAGAGUCUUAAAGAAAGAACCGAACUGGGAGGAUGGGAGCGAAGAAUUCAGAGACAGACGUUGUUUCAACGAGAGGAAACGCAAGAGAGACGUGGCUGAUGGUGUUACUGACAUGAUGCCUGCUCCCAAAAGGAGUCUAAACACUGACGGCGAGGACAAGCCUGAGCUAGGAGCACUGUCUGUGCAACCAGCGCCACCUCAGGACACAGAGAGCGUAGCAUUCGUCUCUGUUGGCUGUCAGACUGUUCAACAGAGUUUCAAACCCAUCAAAAUUGAACCUCCAGAUGAGCCAGUGAUGGGUGACGUCACUCCUCCAGACGGCGAGGACAAGCCUGAGCUAGGAGCGCUGUCUGUGCAACCAGCGCCACCUCAGGACACAGAGAGCGUAGCAUUCGUCUCUGUUGGCUGUCAGACUGUUCAACAGUGUUUCAAACCCAUCAAAAUUGAACCUCCAGAUGAGCCAGUGAUGGGUGACGUCACUCCUCCAGUGAGGUGUUGGAGCAGAAACCGUCUGUAGGAGAUUUUUCAGAUCACCCCGGUCCAGUCCAUGGCCUGGAAAACCACAAUGGCCUCCUUCACAUGUGUUGAGGGG
rnacentral:lncRNA from 1 species